rnacentral:ncRNA from 1 species
AUUACCGGACGCACAAAACUCAACCACGAGCUCGGUUGGUGCGUCUGUCCGGUUCGGGGCGCGUAAACCGCCCAACCUCAUCCCUUUGCCUCGCGGAACAGGGAGUGCUACAGCACGGCUGAGGGAACUACAAAAGCUCGAGCCACCGCGUCAGAGGCUGUUUUACGAAGAGAAACAG